UUUCGAAUCAUUCACAAUGGGCGAAAGCCUGAUGGUGCGACGCCGCGUGAGGGAUGAAGGUCUUCGGAUUGUAAACCUCUGUCACUGGGGAAGAAACGCUUUGAGUUAAUAGUUCAAAGCCUGACUUAACCCGGAGAGGAAGCAGUGGCUAACUCUGUGCCAGCAGCCGCGGUAAUACAGAGACUGCAAGCGUUAUUCGGAUUCACUGGGCGUAAAGGGUGCGCAGGCGGCCGUGUGUGUGAGGUGUGAAAUCCCGGAGCUUAACUCCGGAACUGCGCCUCAAACUACACGGCUAGAGCAUUGGAGAGGGAAGUGGAAUUCACGGUGUAGCAGUGAAAUGCGUAGAUAUCGUGAGGAACACCAGUGGCGAAGGCGACUUCCUGGACAAUUGCUGACGCUCAG
rnacentral:rRNA from 1 species